UGAGCCUUCCAAUUCUGGAUUGUAGUCC
rnacentral:piRNA from 1 species